rnacentral:rRNA from 1 species
UACCAGACUCCUACGGGAGGCAGCAGUAGGGAAUCUUUCACAAUGGGCGAAAGCCUGAUGGAGCAACGCCGCGUGCAGGAUGAAGGCCUUCGGGUUGCAAACUGCUUUUAUAAGCGAGAAAUAUGAUGGUAACUUAUGAAUAAGGAUCGGCUAACUACGUGCCAGCAGCCGCGGUCAUACGUAGGAUCCGAGCAUUAUCCGGAGUGACUGGGUGUAAAGGGAGCGUAGACGGCCAAGCAAGCCAGGGGUGAAAGCCCGGGGCCCAACCCCGGGACUGCCCUUGGAACUGCAUGGCUGGAGUGCGGGAGGGGCAGGCGGAAUUCCUGGUGUAGCGGUGAAAUGCGUAGAUAUCAGGAGGAACACCGGCGGCGAAGGCGGCCUGCUGGACCGCGACUGACGUUGAGGCUCGAAAGCGUGGGGAGCGAACAGGAUUAGAUACCCCUGUAAG